UACGUAGGGAGCAAGCGUUGUCCGGAAUCAUUGGGCGUAAAGCGCGCGUAGGUGGCCCCGUAAGUCCGCUGUGAAAGUCAAAGGCUCAACCUUUGAAAGCCGGUGGAUACUGUGGGACUAGAGUACGGAAGAGGCGAGUGGAAUUCCUGGUGUAGCGGUGGAAUGCGCAGAUAUCAGGAGGAACACCGGUGGCGAAGGCGGUUCUCUGGGCCUGUACUGACGCUGAGGAGCGAAAGCGUGGGGAGCGAACAGG
rnacentral:rRNA from 1 species